GAGCUAGAGCUCGAUUUGCAGAAGGAGAUGAACUAGGGCUCGGGCUCCACCGACGCUUCGAAUCGAGAGAGAAGAGAUCCACUCUCGUCGGGUUACAGCAGCAGCGACGUCGCGGAGGGAGGCGGCGGCCGCUCGCCGGCGACGGCUGGAACGGCCAGAAUACAGCGCGACGGCAGCUACACAGGGAGCAGCAACAGAUCGAUUGAGAGAAGAGGAAGGAAGGAGGGCGCAGGGUUGGGCUCGACGGCAGCCAGCGCCGGAUUCCGGAGCCACGGCGGCGGAACUCCUCGAUGACGGCUGGAACGGGCGAGAGAGGGAGAGGAUCGAUGGAGAGAAGGGGGAGGAUUCUGGAUUGAGAAAUGAGAGAGAGAGAAACCGAGUUUGAGGAAGAAGUGGUUUUGGGCCUGGUUCAGUUGGGCCGGAUACUAUUUCUUUGGGCCAUUUUUCUUUUAUUCUAUGUGGGCCGAAUUUCUUUAAUUUUCUUGGGCCUGUUUGAGUUUUGUUGGGUCAAUUAUGUUGGACUCCUAUAAUUAUUUAAAAUGGGCUUCAAAUUCAUAUAAUUGGGCACCUAUUAUUUAUUUAUUUAGGCCCAAUAAGAUUUAUUAAUUUAGGC
rnacentral:lncRNA from 1 species